UACAGAGGGUGCAAGCGUUGUUCGGAAUUAUUGGGCGUAAAGGGCGCGUAGGCGGUGCGGUAAGUCUGCAGUGAAAUCUCUGGGCUCAACUCAGAGUCUGCUGUAGAAACUGCCGUGCUUGAGUGUGGGAGAGGUGAGUGGAAUUCCCGGUGUAGCGGUGAAAUGCGUAGAUAUUGGGAAGAACACCGGUGGCGAAGGCGGCUCACUGGCUCAUUUCUGACGCUCAGGCGCGACAGCGUGGGGAUCAAACAGG
rnacentral:rRNA from 1 species